ensembl:snoRNA Gm22322 predicted gene, 22322
UAAACUCCUAGAGGUAUGGGCGUGAAUCAGUAGAUGGCAGAGAAGAAAGAGGCUAUGUCUACACUCAGUAUUCUGACCUACGACCAGAUGAAUAAUUAGUAGUCUAACAUU